UACGAAGGGGGCUAGCGUUGUUCGGAAUUACUGGGCGUAAAGGGUGCGUAGGCGGGUUAUUAAGUCAGAGGUGAAAUCCUGGAGCUCAACUCCAGAACUGCCUUUGAUACUGAUAGUCUUGAGUAUGGGAGAGGUGAGUGGAACUGCGAGUGUAGAGGUGAAAUUCGUAGAUAUUCGCAAGAACACCAGUGGCGAAGGCGGCUCACUGGCCCAUUACUGACGCUGAGGCACGAAAGCGUGGGGAGCAAACAGG
rnacentral:rRNA from 1 species